rnacentral:rRNA from 1 species
AACGAACGCUGGCGGCGCGUCUUAAGCAUGCAAGUCGAACGGCAAGAGAGGAGCUUGCUUCUCUCCUAGAGUGGCGGACUGGUGAGGAACACGUGGGUAAUCUACCCUUAAGAUGGGGAUAGCUGCUAGAAAUAGCAGGUAAUACCGAAUACACUCGGCAUAUCACAAGAGGUGUUGAGGAAAGGAAGCUACGGCUUCGCUUGAGGAUGAGCUUGCGUCCCAUUAGCUAGUUGGUGAGGUAAAGACCCACCAAGGCGACGAUGGGUAUCCGGCCUGAGAGGGUGAACGGACACAUUGGGACUGAGAUACGGCCCAAACUCCUACGGGAGGCAGCAGCUAAGAAUAUUCCGCAAUGGACGGAAGUCUGACGGAGCGACGCCGCGUGGAUGAAGAAGGCUGAAAAGUUGUAAAAUCCUUUUGUUGAUGAAGAAUAAGGGUGAGAGGGAAUGCUCAUCUGAUGACGGUAAUCGACGAAUAAGCCCCGGCUAAUUACGUG